UUGAAGUGCUGUCUGGCUCUGUUGAGCUGCUGAUAGACAGCAGGGUGAGGGAGUGCAACACCGAUAAGACAGAGACAAACAAAAGCUGGUGUGUUUUAUUCUUCAUGUGUAUAAUGAUAAGUAGAUAUGCGUAAAGGUGUUUGAGGUCCAUAUGCUGUUCUUACUGAACAGCUUGAGUGGGCCUUAAGGAACAAUGAGCACAAGCCGCCCCAUUUAGACCUGUCUCAAGCUGUGAUUAUACCUCCAAGCCAGAAGAGGCAGAUUAUGGUGGCUAAGAAGCAGCUCCUGAUCAGUGUGUUGCAUUCUGGUCACACUGGGGGUGUUGUCAGUCGGUGUUUACUUCAUAUGGUGUCUUGUCUGUAGGAGGUUCUUCUGCUCCCAGUCAUUGGCAUUCAUCCCUGUGGCUUUGGUGUGUGAUGGGAAGUCUGACUGUGCCGGAGGAGAAGAUGAGCUCAACUGUGUGUCCUGCCAGCUGACCAAUACCACCUUCCCAGGUUAAGUGCCUCAACCGGUCUGGCUCCAUCAGUCUCCUCACACCUCUGAAUCUUACUCCUGCUGUCUCCCGGCAGUGCGAUUGGUGGGGGAGCGCAUGGUGUUACAGGGGUUCAGGGUGGAGGCUGGGUGGAGCACUGUGUGUGCGGACAACUGGGGAAUGAACCACAUCCUUAGUGCCUGUCCAUAGCUGGGAUACACACGGAACCCUGAAGGCAAGAGACUAGAUGUCAACAGCCUGGAGCCCUUGAUGAAAAUGUCCUUCAGCGCAUUAAGAGCAGAGACCAAGGGUCCCUUUCAAUACAGAUCCCCAGCCUGAAACAUCAAAGAGCAAGAAAGAAGACAGUGGCUGGGGAAACACCCCUAGUAGGGUCAAACCUAGCAAGAAAUCUAGAGGAAUGGCCAGUCUCCCGUCAGGGCGUGGUAGCUAGGUGGGGUGGGCUAGAGGACAGUCCUCCCAGUGGAACACACAUUCCACAGACUACAGUUAGACGUAGACCUGAGUGGAGAGGUUAGUCGUUUGUAAAUGCUGAAGUUAAGACAGUCUUUUACAUGUAUCGGCAGAUCAUCCUGCAGUAAUGGAACCCCGCCUCCAGUUUAGGUCUAGAUACAGGAAAACCUGCAUUUUGGGGGAUAGGUAUGUUCGGCAGAACCAAUUCAACAAGCAGUCAUGGGAAGGAUCUGAACCGCUGGCAGGUGGUGCUGGGUAGGACCCAUCUGGUGCGUACUGGGAGUAUUUCUGUGGCAGCCAUCAUCAUCGAUAAAGAUUACCAUGCUCAUAGCCAUGAUUACGACAUGGCCAUGGUGCAGCUCGCCAGUCCUGUCAUUACUGGAGACACCGUCCGCCCAGUGUGUCUGCCCCCCCACAGCCUGCCCCUGAAGGCAGGGGACACCCUGGUGGUGACUGGCUGGGGUGUCCAGCAGGAGGAAGGGGAGUCAAUCUGACAGUCACUAACAAUGUGCAAAACCGUGGACAUUUCCAUGUUCAGUCAUUGUCUUCUGCUACGAUGAGGUGUUAGCGUUGAGAGCUGUCUGUCCUAUUCUCCCCAGGUAACCUCACCUCAGUCCUGCAGAGCGCCACUGUGUGUCUGAUUGAGAGGAAGGUGUGUUCCCAGUCUGACUAUGACCUCUUGAUAACUCCCAGGAUGCUGUGUGCUGGGUAUAUGGAGGGCAAAGUGGACACAUGUCAGGGUGACAGUGGGGGUCCCCUUGUGUUCCUGUCAAGGAGUUGGCAGCUGGUGGGGGUGGUGAGUUGGGGGUUGGGUUGUGCCCGUCCGGGACACUCUGGGGUCUACUGCAGUGUGGAGCAGCUGCUCAACUGGAUCUACUUUGUCAUGGAGAAGCCCUCCUGAAAAUCCAGUUUCUUUCAGAAGUAACUCAGUGGACACAAGGAGAAAUGAGUGACUCCGGUAAACAGAUCCAGUCUUUA